UAAGGAAUAUUGGUCAAUGGACGCAAGUCUGAAUCAGCCAUGCCGCGUGAAGGAUGAAGGUCCUCUGGAUUGUAAACUUCUUUUAUCUGGGACGAAAACGGGAUUUUUAUCUCAAUUGACGGUACCAGAGGAAUAAGCACCGGCUAACUCCGUGCCAGCAGCCGCGGUAAUACGGAGGGUGCGAGCGUUAUCCGGAUUUACUGGGUUUAAAGGGUGCGUAGGUGGGCUUAUAAGUCAGUGGUGAAAUCUCCGAGCUUAACUUGGAAACUGCCGUUGAUACUAUAGGUCUUGAAUUAUCUGGAGGUAAGCGGAAUAUGUCAUGUAGCGGUGAAAUGCUUAGAUAUGACAUAGAACACCAAUUGCGAAGGCAGCUUACUACAUAUAAAUUGACGCUGAGGCACGAAAGCGUGGGGAUCAAACA
rnacentral:rRNA from 1 species